UACGUAGGGUGCAAGCGUUAAUCGGAAUUACUGGGCGUAAAGCGUGCGCAGGCGGUUUUGUAAGUCAGAUGUGAAAAUCCCCGGGCUUAACCUGGGAACUGCGUUUGAAACUACAAGGCUAGAGUGUGGCAGAGGGGGGUGGAAUUCCACGGUGUAGCAGUGAAAUGCGUAGAGAUGUGGAGGAACACCGAUGGCGAAGGCAGCCCCCUGGGUUAACACUGACGCUCAGGCACGAAAGCGUGGGGAGCAAACAGG
rnacentral:rRNA from 1 species